rnacentral:rRNA from 1 species
UAAAAAUAUUCUAUAUAUUUAGUUUUCUCGAAUUCGAAAGAGUUAAUAAUUUAUAAAUUUUAUUGUUGAAUAAAUAUUUAAAAUAAAUUAUUAGAAAUGAAAUGUUAUUCGUUUUUGAAUAUAUCUAGUUUUUUAAGAAAAAAAUUUAAUUUUACUUUUUUUAAAAAAAUUUUUAUUUAAUAGGAUUUUUUUGGAAUUUAGAAAUAUUUAAGGGGAUGAGCUUUUAAAUAAAUGUUUAUAAAUUAAUAAAAAUUUAUAUUAUAAAUGGGAUUGAAGGUUUCUAUUUUUAGGAGGGUGUUAUAACUAUUAUUAUUUUAAAUAUUAUUUUUAUUUGGUUUUAAGUAUUUUAUUAAAAUUUAAUUUUAAAUGUAUAAGAAUUAGGAAUAAUGAUAAAAUUAGUAUAAUAAAAAUUUAAAUUUAAUGUUGAAAUUUUAGGUAAAGUAAAGGAAUUCGGCAAAAAUUUUUCCACCUGUUUAUUAAAAACAUGGCUUUUUGAAGAUAAUUUAAGGUCUGACCUGCCCACUGAUAAAUUAAAUGGCCGCGGUAUUUU